rnacentral:rRNA from 1 species
UGCAAGUCGAGGGGCAGCAUAAUGGAUAGCAAUAUCUAUGGUGGCGACCGGCGCACGGGUGCGUAACGCGUAUGCAACCUACCUUUAACAGGGGGAUAACACUGAGAAAUUGGUACUAAUACCCCAUAAUAUCAUAGAAGGCAUCUUUUAUGGUUGAAAAUUCCGAUGGUUAGAGAUGGGCAUGCGUUGUAUUAGCUAGUUGGUGGGGUAACGGCUCACCAAGGCGACGAUACAUAGGGGGACUGAGAGGUUAACCCCCCACACUGGUACUGAGACACGGACCAGACUCCUACGGGAGGCAGCAGUGAGGAAUAUUGGUCAAUGGACGCAAGUCUGAACCAGCCAUGCCGCGUGCAGGAUGACGGCUCUAUGAGUUGUAAACUGCUUUUGUACGAGGGUAAACGCAGAUACGUGUAUCUGUCUGAAAGUAUCGUACGAAUAAGGAUCGGCUAACUCCGUGCCAGCAGCCGCGGUAAUACGGAGGAUUCAAGCGUUAUCCGGAUUUAUUGGGUUUAAAGGGUGCGUAGGCGGUUUGAUAAGUUAGAGGUGAAAUUUCGGGGCUCAACCCUGAACGUGCCUCUAAUACUGUUGAGCUAGAGAGUAGUUGCGGUAGG